GACGAACCGUCCAAACGUUGUUCGGAAUCACUGGGCUUAAAGGGCGCGUAGGCGGUCGGCAAAGUCCGGGGUGAAAUCUUUCAGCUUAAACUGGAAAGGGCCUCGGAUACUGGCUGACUCGAGGGAGGUAGGGGCCUGUGGAACUUCUGGUGGAGCGGUGAAAUGCGUUGAUAUCAAGAAGGAACGCCGGUGGCGAAAGCGACAGGCUGGCCCUCUUCUGACGCUGAGGCGCGAAAGCUAGGGGAGCAAACGGG
rnacentral:rRNA from 1 species